CCUACGGGAGGCAGCAGUGGGGAAUAUUGCACAAUGGGCGAAAGCCUGAUGCAGCAACGCCGCGUGAGCGAUGAAGGCCUUCGGGUCGUAAAGCUCUGUCCUCAAGGAAGAUAAUUACGGUACUUGAGGAGGACGCCCCGGCUAACUGCGUGCCAGCCGCCGCGGUCAUACGUAGGGGGCUAGCGUUAUCCGGAAUUACUGGGCGUAAGGGGUGCGUAGGUGGUUUCUUAAGUCAGAGGUGAAAGGCUACGGCUCAACCGUAGUAAGCCUUUGAAACUGGGGAACUUGAGUGCAGGAGAGGAGAGUGGAAUGCCUAGUGUAGCGGUGAAAUGCGUAGAUAUUAGGAGGAACACCAGUUGCGAAGGCGGCUCUCUGGACUGUAACUGACACUGAGGCACGAAAGCGUGGGGAGCAAACAGGAUUAGAUACCCCUGUAGUC
rnacentral:rRNA from 1 species